CGGAAACGUGUGCGGGCGAGGCAGCCGCCGGAUGGACCAGCAAAGGGCGUGUGUCACGGCUUCAUAAAUCCCGCGUGCUUAGCGAUAAUUAUAGCCAGUAUUUACUGAGCUCUGUGUAUUACCAGCCCCUGUGCUAAUCCUCGCAGCCGUGGGGAAGAGGAAGGACGCCCCUCGUGGGAACGGCCUCGUGUCUGUUUCACUAGACAGCGCGUGAGCUAGCACGCUGCCCAGCCCAGAAUGGGAGUUCAGCUCUAGACGCAUGGGCUUAGCUGCCCUGCAGCACGUGGGAUCUUCCCAGACCAGGGAUUGGACCCAUGUCCCCUGUAUUGCAAGGCAGAUUCUCAACCACUGGACCACCAGGGAAGCCCGGCAAGUAUUAUUAUUAUUAUUUUUUCAGUGUUUUUAUUUUUAUUUUUUU
ensembl:lncRNA